AUUGAACGCUGGCGGCAUGCCUUACAUAUGCAAGUCGAACGGCAGCGGACCUUCGGGUGCCGGCGAGUGGCGAACGGGUGAGUAAUGUAUCGGAACGUACCUUUCAGUGGGGGAUAACGUAGCGAAAGUUACGCUAAUACCGCAUAUUCUGUGAGCAGGAAAGCAGGGGAUCGCAAGGCCUUGCGCUGAUUGAGCGGCCGAUAUCAGAUUAGCUAGUUGGUGAGGUAAAGGCUCACCAAGGCGACGAUCUGUAGCGGGUCUGAGAGGAUGAUCCGCCACACUGGAACUGAGACACGGUCCAGACUCCUACGGGAGGCAGCAGUGGGGAAUUUUGGACAAUGGGGGCAACCCUGAUCCAGCCAUGCCGCGUGAGUGAAGAAGGCCUUCGGGUUGUAAAGCUCUUUCGGCCGGGAAGAAAUCGCACGGGCUAAUACCCUGUGUGGAUGACGGUACCGGAAUAAGAAGCACCGGCUAACUACGUGCCAGCCGCCGCAGUAA
rnacentral:rRNA from 1 species